UGCGGUUAAAAAGCUCGUAGUUGGAUUUCUGCCUGAGGCAGCCGGUCCGCACUUAGUGCGUGUAUCUGGUUUGGUUUGGGCAUCCUCUUGGGGAUCGUUGCUGUGCUUAGUUGCAUGGUGCGGAAUUCAAGACGUUUACUUUGAGGAAAUUAGAGUGGUUACGGCAAGCUAUCGCUUUGAAUACAUUAGCAUGGAAUAAUAAUAUAGGGCGUAAGUUCUAUCUUGGUGGUUUCUAGAACAUACGCAAUGAUUAAUAGGGACAAUUGGGGGCAUUCGUAUUAACGCGUCAG
rnacentral:rRNA from 1 species